CCUACGGGCGGCAGCAGUGAGGAAUAUUGGUCAAUGGACGAGAGUCUGAACCAGCCAAGCAGCGUGAAGGAUGACUGCCCUCUGGGUGGUAAACUUCUUUUAUAUGGGAGUAAAAUGUUCCACGUGUGGGAUUUUGUAUGUACCAUAUGAAUAUGGAUCGGCUAACUCCGUGCCAGCAGCCGCGGUAAUACGGAGGGUCCGAGCGUUGUCCGGAUUUAUUGGGUUUAAAGGGAGCGUAGGUGGAUUGUUAAGUCAGUUGUGAAAGUUUGCGGCUCAACCGUACAAUUGCAGUUGAAACUGGAAGUCUUGAGUACAGUAGAGGUGGGCGGAAUUCGUGGUGUAGCGGUGAAAUGCUUAGAUAUCACGAAGAACUCCGAUUGCGAAGGCAGUUCACUGGACUGCAACUGACACUGAGGCUCGAAAGUGUGGGUAGCAAACAGGAUUAGAUACCCCUGUAGUC
rnacentral:rRNA from 1 species